rnacentral:rRNA from 1 species
CGUGUAGGUGGCUAAUUAAGUCAGGUGUGAAAUCCUUCCGCUUAACGGGAGAAGUGCACUUGAAACUGCUUAGCUAGAGUACGGGAGAGGAAGGUGGAAUUCCUGGUGUAGAGGUGAAAUUCAUAGAUAUCGAGAAGAACACCGGUGGCGAAGGCGGCCUUCUGGCCCGAUACUGACGCUGAGACGCGAAAGCGUGGGGAGCAAACAGGAUUAGAUACCCUGGUAGUCCACGCCGUAAACGUUGGGCACUAGGUGUGGGAGGUUUUUAUUCCUUCUUUGCCGAAGCUAACGCAUUAAGUGCCCCGCCUGGGGAGUACGGUCGCAAGGCUAAA